GAUGAACGCUGACAGAAUGCUUAACACAUCAGCAACUGACUGGUGGCGGACGGGUGAGUAACGCGUAAAGAACUUGCCUCACAGGUAGGGACAACAUUUGGAAACGAAUGCUAAUACCUAAUACUGUGAGAGAGCUUUGCGUCCCAUUAGCUAGUUGGAGAGGUAACGGUUCACCAAGGCGAUGAUUAGUAGCCGGCCUGAGAGGGUGAUCGGCCACAAGGGGACUGAGACACGGCCCUUACUCCUACGGGAGGCAGCAGUGAGGACUGUUGGACAAAGGACCAGAGUCUGAGACAGCAAUUCUGUGUGAAAGAUGAAGUUUUGGGAAUGUAGAGUGCUUUCAGUUGAGAAACGGUACCAACAGAAGAAGUGACGGCUAAAUACGUGCCAGCAGCCGCGGUAAUUC
rnacentral:rRNA from 1 species